AUAUACAUGCCUACAAUGUUAAUGGAUCACAUCCCAUUAGAAAUCCAUAGUUAAGAGAACUUGGGCUACAGUAGUAUUGGGAUGGGUGACCUCCCAGAAAGUUCUAGUGUUUUACAUU
rnacentral:rRNA from 1 species